GUACGGUGCGAGCGUUAAUCGGAAUUACUGGGCGUAAAGCGUGCGCAGGCGGUUGGCAAAGUCAGCUGUGAAAGCCCCGGGCUUAACCUGGGAAUGGCGGUUGAAACUAGUCGACUAGAAUCUGGCAGAGGGGGGUGGAAUUCCACGUGUAGCAGUGAAAUGCGUAGAGAUGUGGAGGAACACCGAUGGCGAAGGCAGCCCCCUGGGCUGAGAUUGACGCUCAGGCACGAAAGCGUGGGGAGCAAACAGGAUUAGAUACCCUGGUAGUCCACGCCCUAAACGAUGUCAACUAGGUGUUGGGAGCGCAAGUUCUCAGUACCGCAGCUAACGCGUGAAGUUGACCGCCUGGGGAGUACGGUCGCAAGAUUA
rnacentral:rRNA from 1 species